UAGUAUACUGUAAUUAAUGUGUGGUAUCUGUCUGGUGUUGAGGUGUGGUAGUGUAUUGUUUAGUAGUUAGUAUACUGUAAUUAAUGUGUGGUAUCUGUCUGGUGUUGAGGUGUGGUAGUGCUGUUGUCCCUGGCCUUCCUGAUGCCAGCAUUCUACUACAUCCUAAAGCCUCUCUGGAGCAGUCAUCAUCUGUGCUGUGGCUCCCAUGGUCGACUACCGCGUCGUCAUACAGUUGGAGGAUACGCAAGCUUGACCUGGUGCCGUUCCUGACCACCUUCCUGUUGAGUUUCUGGGAGGUGCAGUACGGCAUUGUGGGAGGUGUAGUUGUUUCUGGACUAUGCUGCUCUACAAUGUAGCCAGGCCAGCAUAAAGGUGUGUGAUCAUGGUGUUCUGGUGAUGGAGUUGGAUAGUGGACUCAGUUUCCCUCCACAGAGUACCUCAACACUGUCUAUACACUCAGGCACUACAGGCCUCUCCUCCUAGGUCAGUGGUCCUGGACUGUCAUCAUGUCAAUACUGUAGACUAUACAGUUGUAAACGAGCUCAGGGACCUGCUACGACAGUUCAAACUACGAGGGGUCGGACUCGUCUUCUUGGCUGCAGGUAUGACUGACUGGGUGUGUUCUGGCCUGCAGGUACUGACUGACUGGGUGUGUUUCUGGCCU